rnacentral:lncRNA from 1 species
GCUGUUGCCCUUAGAUGUUGGAACAUGACUUAAAAAAUUUAUAAUAUAAUUAAAAAAUUAAAUAAAAUUAAUAAUAUUUUAUUAUAAAAAAUUUAAAUAAUUUAUAGAAUAUCAAGACAUAAAAUUAAUCAAAUCUGAAAAUAUAUUGGACACUGUCCUAAGACGUAUUUUUAUCCCUCAUAUAAAAAUAUUCGAAAAAAUCAUUCUAAAAUAUGAUCG